rnacentral:rRNA from 1 species
CUACGGGGGGCACCAGUCGAGAAUCUUCCGCAAUGGACGAAAGUCUGACGGAGCGACGCCGCGUGCGGGAUGAAGGCCUUCGGGUUGUAAACCGCUGUCAGUGGGGAGGAAAUGCAUCAGGGUUCUCCCUGGUGUUUGACCGAUCCGCAGAGGAAGCGCAGGCUAAGUUCGUGCCAGCAGCCGCGGUAACACGAACUGCGCGAACGUUAUUCGGAAUCACUGGGCUUAAAGAGUUCGUAGGCGGCCUUUCAAGUCGGGUGUGAAAUCCCUCGGCUCAACCGAGGAAUUGCGCCUGAUACUGGUGGGCUUGAGGGGGAUAGGGGUGAGCGGAACUGAUGGUGGAGCGGUGAAGUGCGUUGAUAUCAUCAGGAACACCGGUGGCGAAGGCGGCUCACUGGAUCUCUUCUGACGCUGAGGAACGAAAGCUAGGGGAGCGAACGGGAUUAGAUACCCUCGUAGUC